GUCGCGGCGAGCGCUGCGUGUAUGGAGACCGGACCGGCGCCCUGCGCAGGAUGGGUACAGCGGUUGCAGCCGGCGUGGCUCUGGGGUCUGGUAUCGGAACCCAGAACGCUUCCUCGGCACCGGCCGGCACCGUCCAGGGCCGUGACUGACCCGAGUGGACGGUACCGGUCCGGUAAAGUAGCUGAGCCGGUUUGAGACCGGCGCUGAUGAACGAGCGGUGAAACGCGAGGCGCCGUGUGAGGAUCUCGGCUAAUUCUUAUCUAAAUCUCUAAAUAUAUCUCUAAAUAAUAUCUAAAACCGGCCCAGCUGUGGAUCACUGCCGCAGCCAGGCCUGUCCCGGCAGCGUGAGGCGGCUUGAGUCAUUUCAGUACAGAAACUCAUCUUGCUUCAGUACAGAAACUUCACGGGGGUGCGUGUAUCCAGAUGCUCUCUGGUCCUGGAAAUUCGCACCUGCUCGAACAUCGACGUUUUAGUUCUGAAACAUCCGAAGCGAAACCGUGAAGCGCAAAGCAGCCCCCAGUGGGAGCGCCGUGCGCUCUGCUGGUAUUGAUUAACUAGACCCGGCGGCGCUGUGGGUCGUGUCGCUCGGACACAGGGCAGCUCGCCAGAGCGACGUGGCGCUGCGGACGCAGGCGGACGGGCUCGGUGGGAGAUGUCGAGGGGUGGCCGGAGGUACAGAGCCGCGCCGGUGAGCGGCGGCUCGCUGUCACGCUGGGAGCCGGGGAGGCUGCCCCGGGCCCGGGCGCUGCUGUGCGGGCUGUGCGGGCUGCUCGCCGUAGCCGGGCUCCUCGGGGUGUACCUGUCCAGCGACACGCCCGGAGACCUGCGGGUCGGCUCCGCGGACUGGACCACAGACCGACUGGCACACAAGCCCCGCAAGCUGACAGCCGGACAGCUGCGCAGCCUGACGGCCCGGGUGGACCGCCGGCGGCAGUGGGACGCGCUCCUCCGCCCGAUCCUGACCGAGAGGCGCCCGGGCACCGCCGGAAGCCAGGCUGUGCGCCAGCACAUCUCCUCCGUGCUGGGCUCUCUGUCCGCAGGCUGGACAGUGGAGGUGGACUCGUUCACUGCGCCCACCCCCCUGGGCCAGCUCACCUUCUCCAACGUCCUGGCGGUGCUGGACCCAGCGGCUCCACGGCGCCUCCUGCUGGCCUGCCACUACGACUCCAAGCUGCUGCCCGCGGACUCGCGGGGCCGGGUGUUCGUGGGGGCCAGCGACUCGGCCGUGCCCUGCGCCAUGCUGCUGGAGCUGGCCAGUGCGCUGGACGCCCAGCUCCGGGCCCUCCGACAGCAGAGGCCUGCGCUCACCCUGCAGCUCGUCUUCUUCGACGGCGAGGAGGCCUUCCAGGAGUGGACCCCCACCGACUCCCUGUACGGCUCGCGGCACCUGGCGGAGCGCAUGGCCGCGACGGCCCACCCCCCUGGCUCUGCUGGCACCAGCCAGCUGGACGCCAUCGACCUGUUUGUCCUCCUGGACCUGAUCGGUGCCCCCGAUCCCCUGUUCGUCAACCACUUCGACAACACGGCCCGCUGGUUCGACCGCCUCAUCGCUGCCGAGAAGCGCCUGCACAAGCUGGGCCUGCUGGCGUCCCACCCCUUGGAGCAGAGCUACUUCAGGAAGGACGUGUACCUGGGGCCGGUAGAGGACGACCACGUGCCCUUCCUCAGGAGAGGCGUGCCCGUCCUCCACAUGGUGGCCACACCCUUCCCCUCCUUCUGGCACACCCUGGAGGACAGCGAGGAGCAGAUGCACCCCCCUACAGUGGACAACCUCACCAAGAUCCUGGCCGUCUUCCUGGCCGAGUACCUGGGCCUGUGACCCUGGACCGACCCGACAGAGCUCCACCCUUACCACCGCUGUGGAGAAUCGUGCCCGGCCAGCCUGGAAUAAGCCUUUACGUGUUCCUCUGCAGCCUGCGCCUGCUGACGCAGCUCCCUGCUUGAACUACGUGUAAACCAGUUGUGAUUUGCCCUUGACAGAAGACAUGCGUCUAACACCCUCUUCAGCCUGGAAGCGCUGUCGAGCUGCUGCAGCUCUCUGGAGGGGCCCAGGGCUGCAGGCAGGAAGACU